UACGGGGGGGGCAAGCGUUGUUCGGAAUUACUGGGCGUAAAGGGCCAGUAGGCGGCCAACUAAGUCGGAUGUGAAAUCCCCAGGCUCAACCUGGGAACUGCAUCCGAUACUGGAUGGCUUGAAUUCGGGAGAGGGAUGCAGAAUUCCAGGUGUAGCGGUGAAAUGCGUAGAUAUCUGGAGGAAUACCGGUGGCGAAGGCGGCAUCCUGGACCGACAUUGACGCUGAACGGCUAAAGCUAGGGGAGCAAACGGG
rnacentral:rRNA from 1 species